GACGAACGCUGGCGGCGUGCCUAAUACAUGCAAGUCGAACGCUUUUUCUUUCACCGGAGCUUGCUCCACCGAAAGAAAAAGAGUGGCGAACGGGUGAGUAACACGUGGGUAACCUGCCCAUCAGAAGGGGAUAACACUUGGAAACAGGUGCUAAUACCGUAUAACACUAUUUUCCGCAUGGAAGAAAGUUGAAAGGCGCUUUUGCGUCACUGAUGGAUGGACCCGCGGUGCAUUAGCUAGUUUGUGAGGUAACGGCUCACCAAGGCAACGAUGCAUAGCCGACCUGAGAGGGUGAUCGGCCACACUGGGACUGAGACACGGCCCAGACUCCUACGGGAGGCAGCAGUAGGGAAUCUUCGGCAAUGGACGAAAGUCUGACCGAGCAACGCCGCGUGAGUGAAGAAGGUUUUCGGAUCGUAAAACUCUGUUGUUAGAGAAAGAACAAGGAUGAGA
rnacentral:rRNA from 1 species